UACGUAGGGUGCGAGCGUUGUCCGGAAUUAUUGGGCGUAAAGAGCUUGUAGGCGGUUUUGUCGCGUCUGCCGUGAAAGCCCAGGGCUUAACCCUGGGUCUGCGGUGGGUACGGGCAGACUAGAGUGUGGUAGGGGAGACUGGAAUUCCUGGUGUAGCGGUGAAAUGCGCAGAUAUCAGGAGGAACACCGGUGGCGAAGGCGGGUCUCUGGGCAGUAACUGACGCUGAGGAGCGAAAGCGUGGGGAGCGAACAGG
rnacentral:rRNA from 1 species